rnacentral:rRNA from 1 species
UAGGGAAUCUUCGGCAAUGGACGAAAGUCUGACCGAGCAACGCCGCGUGAGUGAAGAAGGUUUUCGGAUCGUAAAACUCUGUUGUUAGAGAAGAACAAGGACGUUAGUAACUGAACGUCCCCUGACGGUAUCUAUCCAGAAAGCCACGGCUAACUACGUGCCAGCAGCCGCGGUAAUACGUAGGUGGCAAGCGUUGUCCGGAUUUAUUGGGCGUAAAGCGAGCGCAGGCGGUUUCUUAAGUCUGAUGUGAAAGCCCCCGGCUCAACCGGGGAGGGUCAUUGGAAACUGGGAGACUUGAGUGCAGAAGAGGAGAGUGGAAUUCCAUGUGUAGCGGUGAAAUGCGUAGAUAUAUGGAGGAACACCAGUGGCGAAGGCGGCUCUCUGGUCUGUAACUGACGCUGAGGCUCGAAAGCGUGGGGAGCAAACAGG